rnacentral:rRNA from 1 species
AUUGAACGCUGGCGGCAGGCCUAACACAUGCAAGUCGAACGAGUGGCGGACGGGUGAGUAAUGUCUGGGAAACUGCCCGAUGGAGGGGGAUAACUACUGGAAACGGUAGCUAAUACCGCAUACCAUCGGAUGUGCCCAGAUGGGAUUAGCUAGUGGGUGGGGUUACGGCUCACCUAGGCGACGAUCCCUAGCUGGUCUGAGAGGAUGACCGGCCAAACUGGAACUGAGACACGGGCAAGACUCCUACGGUAGGCAGAAGUGGGGAAGAUGGGACAAUGGGCGAAAGCCGGAUGCAGCCAUGCCGCGUGUAUGAAGAAGGCCUUCGGGUUGUAAAGUACUUUCAGCGAGGAGGCGUUACUCGCAGAAGAAGCACCGGCUAACUCCGUGCCAGCAGCCGCGGUAAUAC